UGCAAGUCGAGCGGAGAUGAGGUGCUUGCACCUUAUCUUAGCGGCGGACCGUUGAGUAAUGCUUAGGAAUCUGCCUAUUAGUGGGGGACAACAUUCCGAAAGGAAUGCUAAUACCGCAUACGCCCUACGGGGGAAAGCAGGGGAUCUUCGGACCUUGCGCUAAUAGAUGAGCCUAAGUCGGAUUAGCUAGUUGGUGGGGUAAAGGCCUACCAAGGCGACGAUCUGUAGCGGGUCUGAGAGGAUGAUCCGCCACACUGGGACUGAGACACGGCCCAGACUCCUACGGGAGGCAGCAGUGGGGAAUAUUGGACAAUGGGCGGAAGCCUGAUCCAGCCAUGCCGCGUGUGUGAAGAAGGCCUUUUGGUUGUAAAGCACUUUAAGCGAGGAGGAGGCUACUUAGAUUAAUACUCUAGGAUAGUGGACGUUACUCGCAGAAUAAGCACCGGCUAACUCUGUGCCAGCAGCCGCGGUAAUACAGAGGGUGCGAGCGUUAAUCGGAUUUACUGGGCGUAAAGCGUGCGUAGGCGGCUGAUUAAGUCGGAUGUGAAAUCCCUGAGCUUAACUUAGGAAUUGCAUUCGAUACUGGUCAGCUAGAGUAUGGGAGAGGAUGGUAGAAUUCCAGGUGUAGCGGUGAAAUGCGUAGAGAUCUGGAGGAAUACCGAUGGCGAAGGCAGCCAUCUGGCCUAAUACUGACGCUGAGGUACGAAAGCAUGGGGAGCAAACAGGAUUA
rnacentral:rRNA from 1 species